UCGGGAAUUUUGGGCAAUGGGCGAAAGCCUGACCCAGCAACGCCGCGUGAGGGAUGAAGUAUUUCGGUAUGUAAACCUCGAAAGAAUGGGAAGAAUAAAUGACGGUACCAUUUAUAAGCUCCGGCUAACUACGUGCCAGCAGCCGCGGUAAUACGUAGGGAGCAAGCGUUGUUCGGAUUUACUGGGCGUAAAGGGCGCGUAGGCGGCGCGGUAAGUCACUUGUGAAAUCUCUGAGCCUAACUCAGAACGGCCAAGUGAUACUGCUGUGCUAGAGUGCGGAAGAGGCGACCGGAAUUCUUGGUGUGGCGGUGAAAUGCGUAGAUAUCAAGAGGAACACCUGAGGCGAAGGCGGGUUGCUGGGCCGACACUGACGCUGAUGCGCGAAAGCCAGGGGAGCAAACG
rnacentral:rRNA from 1 species